AUAAGCCCCUCAAGCUUAAUAUAGUUGCGCAUGACAGUGUUGGCCUCCUCAUUUAAGAUUAUAAAGUCAUUUACUAUUAUAAAUUAUAAAUUUUGGUCUUUUCUAAUCUAAAAAUCCUAACUCCGCACUUCUCUUGUUCCCAUUUUUCCUGUGUCCUCCCCGUCACCUAUCUCAAUUUUUUGACACCUCCGUUAACAUAACAGUGUUAACAGCCUGGUCCAAACAAUCGCAAGAUCUCCUUUCCUCCCCAUUUCUACCACAAUUUGCGAAAGGUUUUGGUGGCUAGUGUUAUUGUAAAAUAUGUAAUUAGCAUACAAAACUUUCUUGUAUGGAAUCAACCCAACAAGUGCAGACCAACAAAAAAAAAAAAAAAAAAAAAGGAAUCAUCCCAACAAGUGGUGGCGAACAUAAUUUAUUGCAAAAAAGAAAAUACCCAUAUUAGUUGUGUCUCAUAUUUACUCAAAAACAAAUUUAUAUUCAUAUUUCCAUUUAUUCUUCCAUUCCAUUCCAAAGUUAGUAGUGUCUCUGAGUUAUAUGUGAUGACUUUGAAAAAGCCACUAAAUGUGUGUAUUAUUUUCAUAACACAAAGUACUACCUCAAAC
rnacentral:lncRNA from 1 species